GAUGAACGCUGGCGGCGUGCCUAAUACAUGCAAGUCGAGCGAACGGACGAGAAGCUUGCUCCUCUGAUGUUAGCGGCGGACGGGUGAGUAACACGUGGAUAACCUACCUAUAAGACUGGGAUAACUUCGGGAAACCGGAGCUAAUACCGGAUAAUAUUUUGAACCGCAUGGUUCAAAAGUGAAAGACGGUCUUGCUGUCACUUAUAGAUGGAUCCGCGCUGCAUUAGCUAGUUGGUAAGGUAACGGCUUACCAAGGCAACGAUGCAUAGCCGACCUGAGAGGGUGAUCGGCCACACUGGAACUGAGACACGGUCCAGACUCCUACGGGAGGCAGCAGUAGGGAAUCUUCCGCAAUGGGCGAAAGCCUGACGGAGCAACGCCGCGUGAGUGAUGAAGGUCUUCGGAUCGUAAAACUCUGUUAUUAGGGAAGAACAAAUGUGUAAGUAACUAUGCACAUCUUGACGGUACCUAAUCAGAAAGCCACGGCUAACUACGUG
rnacentral:rRNA from 1 species